rnacentral:rRNA from 1 species
CCUACGGGAGGCAGCAGUGAGGAAUAUUGCGCAAUGGAGGAAACUCUGACGCAGCCAUGCCGCGUGCAGGAAGACGGCCCUACGGGUUGUAAACUGCUUUUAUAUAGGAAGAAACCCCGAUACGUGUAUCGGCUUGACGGUACUAUAUGAAUAAGGACCGGCUAACUCCGUGCCAGCAGCCGCGGUAAUACGGAGGGUCCAAGCGUUAUCCGGAUUUAUUAGGUUUAAAGGGUCCGCAGGCGGGAUUUUAAGUCAGUGGUGAAAGCCUACAGCUCAACUGUAGAACUGCCAUUGAUACUGAUAUCCUUGAGUGUGGUUGAAGUGGGCGGAACAUGUCAUGUAGCGGUGAAAUGCAUAGAUAUGACAUAGAACACCAAUUGCGAAGGCAGCUCACUAAGCCAUUACUGACGCUGAGGGACGAAAGCGUGGGGAGCGAACAG